rnacentral:lncRNA from 1 species
CUGAGGACACAGGCUCUUCCUCACUGACCUCUGUUCUCAGGUGUUACCAGAUAGACAAGCAACGGAGGCCAUGGAGGCUGCGGGCCUGCCCGCCGGCCCUCUGGGUUUGAAAAGGCCCCUUCCGGGACAGCCGUCCGAUCACAGCUAUGCCCUUUUGGACUUGGAUACCUUGAAAAAAAAACUCUUCCUCACGUUGAAGGAAAACAAGAGGCUUCGGAAGCGCCUGAAAGCCCAGAGGCUGCUGCUUCGGAGGACAUGUGGCCGCCUGAGAGCCUACAGGGAGGGACUGCGGGGACAGAGGGGACCGCAGGCCGACGCAGCACAGGGAUGCUGAGUCCCAGCAGGCUCUGGGAUGUGGGGAUGGUGGCAGCACCCUGGCAGGAAGUGGUGUUCGGCCCUGCUGUAGAUGAUCCCCCUCGCCACUGAUGCUGCAAGGUGCCCUUAGACAGGCAGGGUGGGAUGCUGUGAGGCGGUUGUCAGGUGAGGGCCCAACAGUCAGGUCUCCUGGGCUGAGGCUUUCAGCUGUGGGGCAACAACAGUGACCAAAUGUAAGCUGUCACAACCCUGUCAGCUACUCCCCAGGGAAGGAGAGGUGAUCAUUCUUACAGCCUGUGGGGUACUUACUGUCUCCCCAGAGGGGUCACUCUGAGGGUAGGCAGGGCCGGGGUCCUCCAUCAGCCUGGAUUUCUGAGUAACUCCUUGUCUGCCUGGUUUGUGUGAAUGUGGAAUAAAUCCUUUGACAUCUCC